CUGUAAUUUUGAAGAAUUGCUAACUGAGGACUAUCUGUAUAAGAUCCAUGAAAAAAUAGCUUUUCAAAGAUAUACUUGCAAUGCCUGAAUAUUUUGCUUUACAGGUUGGAAGAACAAAACAUGCAUGUGAAAAUGGAGCAGGGCUACAAAUCUAUUGGAUUACAAGUUUGAAAAAUCCAGGAAAUAUCUUAGCAUGAUAGUACAACUGAGAGAGAAGAAAUUCUGAAGUACUGGUGAAGUACUACUUGCUCCUAUUUUGAACAAAUGGAAAUUUGAAGAUCCAGCAAAUGACAGUUCAGUAUGACACUUAUAUUUAGGAAGACUCCAUAUUGGAUCAUAGAGAACAAUGCACAAACCUUUUAAAACAAUACAAUAAUCAGAAGUCA